GAUGAACGCUGGCGGCGUGCCUAAUACAUGCAAGUCGAGCGAACAGAUAAGGAGCUUGCUCCUUUGACGUUAGCGGCGGACGGGUGAGUAACACGUGGGUAACCUACCUAUAAGACUGGAAUAACUCCGGGAAACCGGGUCUAACGCAGGAUAACUUGUUGAACCGUAUGGUUCUACAGUGAAAUGCGGUUUUGCUGUCACUUAUAGAUGGACCCUCGUCUUAUUAGGUAGUUGGUGGGGUAACGGCUCACAAAGGCAAUGAUAAGCAGCCGACCGGAGAGGGUGAUCGGCCACACUGGACCUGAGACACGGUCCGGACUCCUACGGGAGGCAGCGGUAGGGAAUCUUCCGCAAUGGGCGAAAGCCUGCCGGAGCAACGCCGCGUGGUUGAUGAAGGUCUUCGGAUCGUAAACCUCUGUUAUUAGGGAAGACCAAUUGCGUAAGUAACUGUGCGCGUCUUGACGGUACCUAAUCAGAAAGCCACGGCUAACUACGUG
rnacentral:rRNA from 1 species